GGUUCACUCGCGUAUCCUUGACAGUCCAGCGGGCUUCAAAUCGCUCUCUACAGCUCCAUCUUUAGGCAAGUUCAUUUGUACGGUGCACAUAAUAGCUUCGUGUUAGCCUGCAAACAUUGCCGUCUCAGGCUGUGAGGAAGUUGUAAAUAAUUGCUUGCUCUAGACCAAUCAGGAAAACUCAACAACACACGUGCUGGAGAUUGUUGGUGGAUUAUUUCUCAACGACGCCUUAGUGGCAGUUGGAUAGCACAGGGUUAAAAAAAUCCAGGAGGAUUCUACUUGAGUCCAGUAUUGUGGCUCGGCUAUACGGAGCAACAAUUCACUUCUCAGGCAACAACACUUCGCUUCCCAGGCAACAACAGCUUGCUUCCCACAGAGUAGCAGUUUGCCCCGGUACACACACUGAAGCUCCUAGCCUGCUGCAUCAUCGAAGCCAUCCAGCUCGAUAAACCCGUGCUUAGCUAGCUUGUUUGAUAGUCACUGUCGCCCACAGAGGGAGUUCAGUGUCCACCACCGAGGGAAUUCACAUCGCUAUUGCCGCAAGCAUGUGCAGCUCCAUCCCCCUGUAGUGUGAAAAUUGUGCACAUGAGAUUGAACUACACCAACUUCUGAACUGCAAAAGGUGGCUGCUUGUGUAUUUCGACAUGAUGAUUUGUGAACUGCCCGCUAUAUGACUUCCAAAGUGCAGCAGGCCAUGUGUAUGUGCGAGUUUAAUUCUUUAAUUUAAUACACAUACUAUGUGUUAAUGUUU